CCUGGAAAGCCAUGCCACAGUAUGCUCACUUUCUACCUCAUUGAGCCUCUGGGAACAUAGAAGAUACUUAACCUGUGAUAUAGACUGACUCCCAGGUCAUUUUAGUUGUAGUUCAGUAUGACUCUUGUUCUUUCUUUCUUUCUCACUUUCACCAUUAGUGUCAAGACUAACCAGGUGACUGAUUAGGCAGAAUAAAGCUUGAAGAAAGUUGAAAAAAAGGCAAGGAUGAACAAAAUGCUGUCCUCCAGAGUGCUGCCCUCCCUGAACCUUCCUGAGUUUCAUUUUGUAAUUCUCAGCAUUUCCCAGAGCUGCACGUUGUCAACACAAGGAUCCAGAGUCUCCCAGUGGAAGAAGCGAGUCAUGAGAUACCUGGAUUCCUGGUUGCUAUUUCUAGUUGGCCCCAAACUGAAUGUAUAACUUGUUCAAUUUGACACUCUCUGCUGUGCUGUGCUGUGCUGAGUCACUCAGUAGUGUCCAGCUCCCUGGCCUCAUGGAUUGUAGCCCAUUGUCUCCUACAUCCAUGGAAUUUUCCCAGCAAGAAUACUGGAGUAGGUUGCCAUUUCCUACUCCAGGGGAUCUUCCCAAUCUAGGGAUCCAACCCAUGUCUCUUGUGUCUCCUGCAGGUGAUGCAGGAGACAUGGGUUUGAUCCAUGCGCAGAUCUUUACCACUAGCACCACAUGGCAAGCCCUGAAAUCUCUGAACACCUUUAAAAAAGUUGUUUGUGCUGAACAAUUUCUGAUUUCUCUUCCACUCUUGAAGUAUGUUCCUAUUUGUUCCUUCCACUUAUGAAAUAUGUUCCAAUUCAUAAUUGUUAUCAUCCUGCUUUUGAAAAAUGCAAUGAUGUAUUACUCCUCAAUACACAAAAUAGUAUCAGAAUAUCACUCAAUGACAAUAAAGAAGGUACAUAGAGGUUCUGAUGCUCUUUCUAACAAUAAUAUAAUAAUAUUAAUAGCACCUGACAUUUAUUGAAUGUUAUGUGCCAAGCAGUACUGUAAGCCAUGAACGUAUUCAUGUAAUCUUCAGAGUGAACCUGAUUGACACAAGAGUAAACUGAGCAGAGAGAACUUAAAUCUCUUUCUGAGCAAGUAGGUAACUGAACUGAUGUGACAGGUGGUGGAACCUCACCAUCUGAAUCUGAAGUUCAUGAACUUAACCACUUCAUACCCUGUCAUUCAAUGUUAUGGACUAGGUUGAAGAAGGCACUUUCUGGUAUUUUAAAGUUGAGAGACCAAGGAGCCUAAGUUAAGCAAAAAAUCUUCAACAUCACUUCAGUCUAAAGUGUAGACACUACUUCAGCAUUUAUGAAGAAAGGUGAGUGGAUUAGAAGACAGACAGACUGGAAGUACCUAGGGAGGGCUAUUACACUCAAUUUCUUAUGAAGCAUAUAAUUAUCAUGUGGCAAGUGGGAUUUAAUGUUUUAGGAAUAUUA
ensembl:lncRNA